rnacentral:ribozyme from 1 species
AGCCGUUCGGGCGACUAUAAACAGGCCUUAGGCCCGAAGCGUGGCGGCACUUGCCGCCGGUGGUA